GAUGAACGCUAGCGGCAGGCCUAAUACAUGCAAGUCGAACGGUGUCUUCGGACAUAGUGGCGCACGGGUGCGUAACACGUAUGCAACCUACCUUACAUUGGGGGAUAGCCUUUCGAAAGGGAGAUUAAUACCGCAUAAGACAGUAGCUGGGCAUCCAGCAGCUGUUAUAGAUUUAUCGAUGUAAGCUGGGCAUGCGUCCAAUUAGCUAGUUGGUGAGGUAACGGCUCACCAAGGCAAUGAUUGGUAGGGGAGCUGAGAGGUCAAUCCCCCACACUGGCACUGGGAUACGGGCCAGACUCCUACGGGAGGCAGCAGUAGGGAAUAUUGGGCAAUGGACGCAAGUCUGACCCAGCCAUGCCGCGUGCAGGAUGAAGGCGUUAUGCGUUGUAAACUGCUUUUAUACAGGAAGAAACGACUCUUGCGAGAGGCAUUGACGGUACUGUAUGAAUAAGCACCGGCUAACUCCGUGCCAGCAGCCGCCGUAAUAC
rnacentral:rRNA from 1 species